CCUACGGGAGGCAGCAGUGAGGAAUAUUGGUCAAUGGGCGCGAGCCUGAACCAGCCAAGUCGCGUGAAGGAUGACUGCCCUACGGGUUGUAAACUUCUUUUAUAAAGGAAUAAAGUGCGGGACGUGUGCCUUUUUGUCUGUACUUUAUGAAUAAGGAUCGGCUAACUCCGUGCCAGCAGCUGCGGUAAUACGGAGGAUCCGAGCGUUAUCCGGCUUUAUUGGGUUUAAGGGGAGCGUAGACGGGUUUUUAAGUCAGCUGUGAAAGUGUGCGGCUAAACCAUAGAAUUGCAAUUGAAACUGGCAGCCUUGAGUACAGUUGAGGCAGGCGGAAUGCGUGGUGUAGCGGUGAAAUGCUUAGAUAUCACGAAGAACUCCGAUUGCGAAGGCAGCCUACUAAGCUGCCACUGACGUUGAUGCUCGAAAGUGUGGGGAUCAAACAGGAUUAGAUACCCUAGUAGUC
rnacentral:rRNA from 1 species